rfam:Arabis alpina cultivar Pajares Aa.chr3_contig_4409, whole genome shotgun sequence.
ACAGGCCAAUGAUGGAUGAUUCAAAUGAAGCCUACAUCGUUUGAGAAACCAAUGAUAAUGAUAUUUUCAACACGUAAUUCUGAGGCCUAU